GCCUACGGGAGGCAGCAGUAGGGAAUUUUCGUCAAUGGGCGCAAGCCUGAACGAGCAAUGCCGCGUGAACGAGGAAGGUCUUCGGAUCGUAAAGUUCUGUUGAAGGGGAAAAAGAGCGGAGAGAGGAAAUGCUUUCUGAUUGAUAUUACCCUUCGAGGAAGUCACGGCUAACUACGUGCCAGCAGCCGCGGUAAUACGUAGGUGGCGAGCGUUAUCCGGAGUGAUUGGGCGUAAAGGGUGCGUAGGCGGCCUGCUAAGUCUGGAGUGAAAGGUACCGGCUCAACCGGUACAGGCUCUGGAAACUG
rnacentral:rRNA from 1 species